AAAACGCCCGGGAAUUACAAGCGCAAGCUUAAAACCCAAAGGAUUUGACGGUGUCCCACCCACCUAGAGGAGCCUGUUCUAUAAUCGAUGAUCCACGAUACACCUCACCAUUUUUUGCCUUCCUCAGCCUGUAUACCUCCGUCGACAGCUUACCAUUUGAGUGCCAUAAAGUAGGUUUAAUAGGCCAUGCACGCCAAUACGUCAGGUCAAGGUGCAGCCCACAAAAUGGAAAGCAAUGGGCUACAAUUUCUAAUACAGAACAAAUGAAAAAUUAUCUGAAAUGAUACUAUGAAAGCGGAUUUAGUAGUAAAAGAAGAACAAUAAGCUUCUUUUAACAAGGGCCUGGGACGUGUACACACCGCCCGUCAC
rnacentral:rRNA from 1 species